rnacentral:rRNA from 1 species
CCCUUAGAUGUUCUGGGCUGCACGCGCGCUACACUGAUGCGCUCAACGAGUUUAUGACCUUGCCCGGAAGGGUUGGGUAAUCUUCUUAAAACGCAUCGUGAUGGGGAUAGAUUAUUGCAAUUAUUAAUCUUCAACGAGGAAUUCCUAGUAAGCGCGAGUCAUCAGCUCGUGCUGAUUACGUCCCUGCCCUUUGUACACACCGCCCGUUGCUCCUACCGAUUGAGUGAUCCGGUGAAUAAUUCGGACUGCAGCAGUGUUCGGUCACGAACGUUGCAGCGGAAAGUUUAGUGAACCUUAUCACUUAGAGGAAGGAGAAGUCGUAACA